rnacentral:misc_RNA from 1 species
GGGUUGCGACGUGAUGACAUGUGAGUUGUUAUCGAUGUGAGUUCUUYGUCAGGCUCCCUGCUUUAUCGCGGCCAACUGACGGUAAAUCAUAUCUCUUUCGUACAUUUGCGUUGAUUUGUGCUAAUUCUAGUGUAUGUCCUCGUGGAAAAUUGAUUUGGUUUGGAAUUGAAAGUUCAACGAUGUGCUUUGCGUACGUUUCUCCUCUUUGCUAAGUGGUGUGGAGGUGAACGAAGUAUGGAGGACACACUUCCUUGGUUUUUGAUUUUCCGCAUUCGUCGGUGGUCAAAUUUUAGUCCUUGAGUGACUUCGUUGUUUUAAGGAUGCAGCGUGUAGAUUUAAAUAUCAAAGAAGCCUCUCAUGUGUUCUUAUAAUAUAUAACUCGAUUUUGUCCGCACUUCUUGWAAGAUAUUUGCACGAGUCGUGUUGCUCCUUUGUUUUCAAGGAA